rnacentral:rRNA from 1 species
UACGUAGGUGACAAGCGUUGUCCGGAUUUACUGGGCGUAAAGAGCGCGCAGGCGGUCGUUCAGGUCGAGUGUGAAAGCCCCCGGCUCAACUGGGGAGGGUCACGCGAUACUGAUCGACUCGAAGGCAGGAGAGGGUAGUGGAAUUCCCGGUGUAGUGGUGAAAUGCGUAGAUAUCGGGAGGAACACCAGUGGCGAAGGCGACUACCUGGCCUGUUCUUGACGCUGAGGCGCGAAAGCUAGGGGAGAAAACGGG